rnacentral:rRNA from 1 species
GAGUUUGAUCGUGGCUCAGGAUGAACGCUAGCGGCAGGCCUAACACAUGCAAGUCGAGGGGUAGAGGAAGCUUGCUUCCUUGAGACCGGCGCACGGGUGCGUAACGCGUAUGCAAUCUACCUUGUACAGAGGGAUAGCCCAGAGAAAUUUGGAUUAAUACCUCAUAGUGUUAUCGGAUGGCAUCAUUUGAUAACUAAAGUUCCAACGGUACAAGAUGAGCAUGCGUCCCAUUAGCUAGUUGGUGUGGUAACGGCAUACCAAGGCAAUGAUGGGUAGGGGUCCUGAGAGGGAGAUCCCCCACACUGGUACUGAGACACGGACCAGACUCUUACGGGAGGCAGCAGUGAGGAAUAUGGUCAAUGGACGCAAGUCUGAACCAGCCAUGCCGCGUGCAGGAUGACGGUCCUAUGGAUUGUAAACUGCUUUUAUACAGGAAGAAACACCCCUUCGUGAAGGGACUUGACGGUACUGUAGGAAUAAGGAUCGGCUAACUCCGUGCCAGCC